CUUCAAUAACGGCUGGAACAGGUGGAGUAGUAUUGGAAACACCAGGGCCUCAUGAACGGGUAAUCUAUUGUUCCUUUAUCACUAUAUUCAAGGUUACAAUUAUAUUAACUGCUCUUAAUUUCUCCAUAAAAAUGUUGUAUUAAUUAAUCUUUUUACACUUUAGUUAUUCAUUUUUUUACCUACAAAUCUACCUUAUUGUUUUAAAACAUGAAAAGUUAACUGUUUAAAAAUGACAGUGACUGUAAAUAAUUUGUUUUUUUUUCUUUUUCUAACUAUGGAUUUGUGCUCUUGUUUGCUUAUUAUGUUAGGAAAGUGGGAAACAAACUUCUUUUGGACCUAUUGCAACUAAUGAGAAUGAGAUGGUAAGGCCUAAUGUAAAUAACUUAGUAAUCUCAAGUGCUAAAAAAAAAAAGUUGACAUCUGAUGUUUGGGAAGAAUUUAGCAAGAAGAAAGAAAGGGAUGGGAAAGUACUUGCUAUAUGUGUAUAUUGUGAUAGAAAUUUUGAUGGUUCAAGUAAGAAAGGAACUACGCACCUAAGAAAUCACUUGAAAAGAUGUAAAGAAAGAGCAGCGAAAGUUGGGAAAGAUGAUUUAAAAAAUGAAAGUGCCAAUGAAGGUAAUUCUUCAUUUGAUCAAGAUAGGAGUAGCAUGGAUGUUGCAAGAAUGAUUAUUAAGCAUCAGUACCCAUUGAAUAUAGUUGAGCAUGAAUUUUUCAGCAUUCUUUUGAAAAAUUUGCAACCAAUGUUCAAACUUCAAUCACAAGAUGCUCUAUCAUCUGAAAUAAUUCGUGUCUACAAAGAAGAAAAGCGUAAACUCCUUCGAUAUUUUGAUAAGCUAUCAUGUCGCUUUAAUUUGAUAAUUAGUUUGUGGACACAUGAUCUUGAAAAGACUGUGUAUUGUUGUUAUGUUGUACAAUUUAUUGAUGACAAUUGGGAAUUGAAGAAGAAAAUUCUUGCUUUAAAAAGUUUAGGGAAUCAAUUUGAGAAAAUGACUUUCGUUGAAAAUUUCAAAAAGUUUCUUGUGGAUUGGAAUUUUGACAAGAAAGUUUGUUCCUUAACCAUACAUAAUUCUUCUUCAUGUUUCGAGAUAGCUGAAGAAAUAAGAAAGAGCUGGCAAUGUUUUGUAGAUCCAUAUCCUUCAAGCACAUUUUUCAUCAGUAGUGAUGAAUGUGUUUUUGGUCUCCUUGGUAAAGAUAACUCAGAUGAGAAGAAUGUUGGAAAAUCUAUUGAUGGUGCCAUUAGAACUUCAAAUGCAUGUUUGCGGGACAUUUUUGGCAUCUACAAGAAACUGAGUCAAUGGGAUGGAAGAG
rnacentral:lncRNA from 1 species